AGUGUUAAAAUAUAUAAAAUAUAGAGCAGUUAGUGUUAUUCUCCAUCUAGAUGUGCAGAAUCACAGCAGAAUCAGAGCUCAAAUAAAGCAAAAUACACUGAAUGAAGAUGACUGGAAACAAAGUAUUUGCUCUUGCAUGAGACCUGAUUGCAUCCGAAUCUAAAUUUACAAGAAAUUUAAAUUAUAUCUGAAGCUGUAAGCAAUUAUGUUUAUCUUUUAUAUAUCUGACAAAUUAUAAAACCAUCCUUCAUUUCAUUGUUUCUUUUUGAUGAAGUAAAAUAUUUGAAUGAAUUUGUCCAGAUCAACAUUUGUUCUGAAAGUAUUUGUACAAACAUGAAUGUUUCACCACUCAUUUACACUCUGAUGCUCAUUUCAGACUAUCAAUUAUUGUUCCUUACAUGCUUAUAAAAACGAAAUGUGAACAAAUAGAAUAGUAAAAAAGUGUUGGGCCUAAAAAUAAACAUCUGUCAGAAUAUCUGAAAGCCAUAUCCUCAGUUUAAAGCUGUUGUUACAUGUAAAAAUAUGCUUUAUUAUGUGAUUAAAUAGAAAAACCAUGGAUUUUAUAUCACAUGUCAAUGUUAGUUUGUGUUAGGAUGUAAGAUGUAGGCUGUAUGCUCGGCUACUUCUUUGUUUAUUUCAGGUUUAAUCAGCAUCUGACCAUCUUGGACUGAAAGUUUGAGGCUCUAUAAUCAGUCUAUGUGUAACAAGCGUUUAUUUUAACAACACUAUAGAUGUUAGGUUUGUCAAAAUGUGUUUAUUUGACCUUUGAAUUUACUUUGUUUAGUCAUCAAGUUGUUUCUUCAGACAUUUAUUGGUGUUUUCAGUUCUGUUGCGCUGCUCUUGGCGGUUGGUGGUUACCAUAGCAACCAGUAACUGACAGCUCCUCCCCCUUUUUUUUCUGUUGCCGGUGGUAACUGUGGUUAGGUAUUAGAAUCAGCUCUGUGUUUUGUUUACAAAUAUUUUAUUGUAACAUAUAUUUUAUACAAAUUUAACAAUACUCAGUGUUUCAUGAGUAAUUUUUCUGUUUUUAUGUUUUUAACUGUUUUGUUAGCUAUGUUUAAUUUUACAACUACUAACUGCUGUUAACUGCUGCUAAAUGUCAUUAACUGCUCACUGGGAGUUAUUGCUUUGUAGUUUGUUUAGGGUUAUUUGUUGUAUUUUAUUUAAUGUAUAGAACUGAUGUUAACAACCAAUUUGAUUUCCUCUUUUGUUAGAAUAAAUACAGUUAACCUGAAUGUGUCUGGUUCUACUGGGUCUGAGACGAACAUAGAAGUGUAGGAGAUAUGGACUUAAAGUUGUAUCCCAAUAUUUUGUGGUAUGCUGUGAAAAUGAGAAAAGUGGCUAUUUAAUAACUAUUUAUUACUGUAUGGCUGUAACAGCAUAAUAGAGCAAUUAUAGCUCCCAAAACAAAAGUACUGCUCUGAAAAAUCAAAUCCAUGUGCAAUACGCUUCUUUAGGUCACUAGUGAUCUGUGUCACACCAUAACUGUAUUUAAUCAUAUUUUCAAAGAUAUUGAUAUUUACUGAUGCUCUGAUUGAAGAAAUGGUGCAAAAAUAGCAAAAAUAAAAAUAUUUUUAAAACAUUAUUAAUUUGAACAUAUUUCGACAAUAAAUCAGAAUUCUUACCAUAAGAAAUUUAUCACGAUAAAUUAUAUGAUAUAGGCCCACUCAAGUUCUAAGUGGUUUUAUAUUUGAUAGAUAAUUGCUAAAUUAGUAUUAUUUCAUUUAAAAUAGUUUAAACUCCCCUACUU